UACGUAGGGGGCAAGCGUUGUCCGGAAUCAUUGGGCGUAAAGAGCGCGUAGGCGGCCCUGUAAGUCCGCUGUGAAAGUCAAGGGCUCAACCCUUGAAUGCCGGUGGAUACUGCAGGGCUAGAGUCCGGAAGAGGCGAGUGGAAUUCCUGGUGUAGCGGUGAAAUGCGCAGAUAUCAGGAAGAACACCCGUGGCGAAGGCGGUUCUCUGGGACGGUACUGACGCUGAGACGCGAAAGCGUGGGGAGCGAACAGG
rnacentral:rRNA from 1 species